rnacentral:rRNA from 1 species
GAUCCGGCUCAGGAUGAACGCUAGCUACAGGCUUAACACAUGCAAGUCGAGGGGCAGCAUGGUCUUAGCUUGCUAAGGCUGAUGGCGACCGGCGCACGGGUGAGUAACACGUAUCCAACCUGCCGUCUACUCUUGGCCAGCCUUCUGAAAGGAAGAUUAAUCCAGGAUGGGAUCAUGAGUUCACAUGUCCGCAUGAUUAAAGGUAUUUUCCGGUAGACGAUGGGGAUGCG